rnacentral:rRNA from 1 species
CAGUAGCCGCGGUAAUACAGAGGGUGCGAGCGUUAAUCGGAUUUACUGGGCGUAAAGCGUGCGUAGGCGGCUAAUUGAGUCGGAUGUGAAAUCCCCGAGCUUAACUUGGGAAUUGCAUUCGAUACUGGUUAGCUAGAGUGUGGGAGAGGAUGGUAGAAUUCCAGGUGUAGCGGUGAAAUGCGUAGAGAUCUGGAGGAAUACCGAUGGCGAAGGCAGCCAUCUGGCCUAACACUGACGCUGAGGUACGAAAGCAUGGGGAGCAAACAGGAUUAGAGACCCCUGUAGUCCCUGUCUCUUAUAC